rnacentral:rRNA from 1 species
ACGGGAGGCAGCAGUGGGGAAUAUUACACAAUGGGCGCAAGCCUGAUGUAGCAACGCCGCGUGAGCGAAGAAGGUCUUCGGAUCGUAAAGCUCUGUCCUUGGGGACGAAUACUGACGGUACCCAAGGAGGAAGCCCCGGCUAACUACGUGCCAGCAGCCGCGGUAAUACGUAGGGGGCGAGCGUUAUCCGGAAUUAUUGGGCGUAAAGAGUACGUAGGUGGCUGCGUAAGCGAGAGGUGAAAGCCCGGGGCUUAACUCCGGCGAGCCUUUCGAACUGCGUGGCCUGAGUGCAGGAGGGGAAAGUGGAAUUCCUAGUGUAGCGGUGAAAUGCGUAGAUAUUAGGAGGAACACCAGUGGCGAAGGCGACUUUCUGGACUGUAACUGACACUGAGGUACGAAAGCGUGGGGAGCAAACAGGAUUAGAUACCCUGGUA